rnacentral:rRNA from 1 species
UACGGGGGGGGGUAAGCGUUGUUCGGAAUUACUGGGCGUAAAGGGCUCGUAGGCGGCCAACUAAGUCAUACGUGAAAUCCCUCAGCUUAACCGGGGAACUGCGUCUGAUACUGGAUGGCUAGAGGUUGGGAGAGGGAUGCAGAAUUCCAGGUGUAGCGGUGAAAUGCGUAGAUAUCUGGAGGAAUACCGGUGGCGAAGGCGGCAUCCUGGACCGACAUUGACGCUGAGGAGCGAAAGCUAGGGGAGCAAACGGG